rnacentral:rRNA from 1 species
GAGUAAUGCCUAGGAAUCUGCCUGGUAGUGGGGGAUAACGCUCGGAAACGGACGCUAAUACCGCAUACGUCCUACGGGAGAAAGCAGGGGACCUUCGGGCCUUGCGCUAUCAGAUGAGCCUAGGUCGGAUUAGCUAGUUGGUGAGGUAAUGGCUCACCAAGGCGACGAUCCGUAACUGGUCUGAGAGGAUGAUCAGUCACACUGGAACUGAGACACGGUCCAGACUCCUACGGGAGGCAGCAGUGGGGAAUAUUGGACAAUGGGCGAAAGCCUGAUCCAGCCAUGCCGCGUGUGUGAAGAAGGUCUUCGGAUUGUAAAGCACUUUAAGUUGGGAGGAAGGGCAGUUACCUAAUACGUGAUUGUUUUGACGUUACCGACAGAAUAAGCACCGGCUAACUCUGUGCCAGCAGCCGCGGUAAUACAGAGGGUGCAAGCGUUAAUCGGAAUUACUGGGCGUAAAGCGCGCGUAGGUGGUUUGUUAAGUUGAAUGUGAAAUCCCCGGGCUCAACCUGGGAACUGCAUCCAAAACUGGCAAGCUAGAGUAUGGUAG